rnacentral:rRNA from 1 species
CUUCGGGGGUACUCGAGCGGCGAAAGGGAGAGUAACGCGUGGGCCACCUACCCUUGGGUCCGGGAUAGCGGCGGGAAACCGCCGAUAAUACCGGAUAACAUCUCAGGAUCAAAGGUGUGAUUCCGCCUGGGGAUGGGCCCGCGUCCUAUUAGUUCGUUGGUGAGGUAAUGGCUCACCAAGGCGAAGAUGGGUACCGGGUGUGAGAGCAUGACCCGGCUCACUGGGACUGAGACACUGCCCAGACACCUACGGGUGGCUGCAGUCGAGAAUCUUCGGCAAUGAGCGCAAGCUUGACCGAGCGACGCCGCGUGCGGGAUGAAGGCCUUCGGGUUGUAAACCGCUGUCAGUGGGGAGGAAAUGCAUGGGGGUUCUCCCCUGUGUUUGACCUAUCCGCAGAGGAAGUCCGGGCUAAGUUCGUGCCAGCAGCCGCGGUAAGACGAACCGGACGAACGUUAUUCGGAAUUACUGGGCUUAAAGAGUGCGUAGGCGGCUUGGCAGGUUGGGUGUGAAAUCCCUCGGCUCAACCGAGGAACUGCGCUCAAAACCGCCAGGCUUGAGGGAGACAGGGGUGAGCGGAACUGAUGGUGGAGCGGUGAAAUGCGUUGAUAUCAUCAGGAACACCGGUGGCGAAGGCGGCUCACUGGGUCUCAUCUGACGCUGAGGCACGAAAGCUAGGGGAGCGAACGGGAUUAGAUACCCC